UACGUAGGGGGCAAGCGUUGUCCGGAAUUAUUGGGCGUAAAGAGCGUGUAGGCGGUCCGGUAAGUCAGCUGUGAAAGUCAAGGGCUCAACCCUUGAAAGCCGGUUGAUACUGUCGGGCUAGAGUCCGGAAGAGGCGAGUGGAAUUCCCGGUGUAGCGGUGAAAAUGCGCAGAUAUCGGGGAGGAACAUCAGUGGCGAAGGCGGUCACCUGGACGAUAACUGACGCUGAGGCUCGAAAGCGUGGGAGCAAACAGG
rnacentral:rRNA from 1 species